AUUGAACGCUGGCGGCAUGCUUUACACAUGCAAGUCGAGCGGCAGCGGGAAAGUAGCUUGCUACUUUUGCCGGCGAGCGGCGGACGGGUGAGUAAUGCCUGGGGAUCUGCCCAGUCGAGGGGGAUAACUACUGGAAACGGUAGCUAAUACCGCAUACGCCCUACGGGGGAAAGCAGGGGACCUUCGGGCCUUGCGCGAUUGGAUGAACCCAGGUGGGAUUAGCUAGUUGGUGAGGUAACGGCUCACCAAGGCGACGAUCCCUAGCUGGUCUGAGAGGAUGAUCAGCCACACUGGAACUGAGACACGGUCCAGACUCCUACGGGAGGCAGCAGUGGGGAAUAUUGCACAAUGGGGGAAACCCUGAUGCAGCCAUGCCGCGUGUGUGAAGAAGGCCUUCGGGUUGUAAAGCACUUUCAGCGAGGAGGAAAGGUCAGUAGCUAAUAUCUGCUGGCUGUGACGUUACUCGCAGAAGAAGCACCGGCUAACUCCGUGCCAGCAGCCGCGGUAA
rnacentral:rRNA from 1 species